CCACCCACUGCAGGCUACUCUGAAAAAAGAGGAGAGUUGACUUCAAAGAGAAAUAAACAGCUUGGCUUGAGAAGCAGCCCCUGAUCUGACUCACUGUCACAUCCUGCUCCAGCACUUCCUUGUUCACAGCAGAAACUCCUUCCAGCACCACGUGCAGAGGGAACACGGGGAGAUUCCACAGAGCCAUCCCUCCCUCAGGACACAGAGCCUACAGGACAGAUGCCUCCUAUGGAAGCUGAGCAUUCCUAAACAACCACCAAAGGUGACAGCCCAGGUGCCAGGACAUGUCCAUGACUGAGUUUUGGCUCAACAGAGACACAAGUACCAGCUGAAGUGUCUGGUGAAGCUCCUGACAGGGGCAGAUUCCC
rnacentral:lncRNA from 1 species